UACGAAGGGGGCGAGCGUUGUUCGGAAUUACUGGGCGUAAAGGGCUCGUAGGCGGCCAACUAAGUCAGACGUGAAAUCCCUCGGCUUAACCGGGGAACUGCGUCUGAUACUGGAUGGCUUGAAUCCGGGAGAGGGAUGCGGAAUUCCAGGUGUAGCGGUGAAAUGCGUAGAUAUCUGGAGGAAUACCGGUGGCGAAGGCGGCAUCCUGGACCGGCAUUGACGCUGAGGAGCGAAAGCCAGGGGAGCAAACGGG
rnacentral:rRNA from 1 species